GACUGCCUGCACCAAAGCCUGCCGAUGGGCGUCUUACCAGACACGGUUAGAUCUGGUCCUUCUGUCUAAUACUGUCUGGUAAUGCCGUCCAUCCCCGGCCUCAUCACCGCCACAGGAG
rnacentral:pre_miRNA from 8 species